GUGGGGAAUUUUGGACAAUGGGCGCAAGCCUGAUCCAGCAAUGCCGCGUGCAGGAAGAAGGCCUUCGGGUUGUAAACUGCUUUUGUACGGAACGAAACGGUCCUGGUUAAUACCUGGGGCUAAUGACGGUACCGUAAGAAUAAGCACCGGCUAACUACGUGCCAGCAGCCGCGGUAAUACGUAGGGUGCGAGCGUUAAUCGGAAUUACUGGGCGUAAAGCGUGCGCAGGCGGUGCUGUAAGACAGGCGUGAAAUCCCCGGGCUCAACCUGGGAAUUGCGAUUGUGACUGCAGUGCUGGAGUACGGCAGAGGGGGAUGGAAUUCCGUGUGUAGCAGUGAAAUGCGUAGAUAUGCGGAGGAACACCGAUGGCGAAGGCAGUCCCCUGGGCCUGUACUGACGCUCAUGCACGAAAGCGUGGGGAGCAAACAGGAUUAGAAACCCCUGUAGUCC
rnacentral:rRNA from 1 species